rnacentral:rRNA from 1 species
GAUGAACGCUGGCGGCGUGCCUAAUACAUGCGAGUCGAGCGAACAGACGAGGAGCUUGCUCCUCUGACGUUAGCGGCGGACGGGUGAGUAACACGUGGAUAACCUACCUAUAAGACUGGGAUGACUUCGGGAAACCGGAGCUAAUACCGGAUAAUAUAUUGAACCGCAUGGUUCAAUAGUGAAAGACGGUUUUGCUGUCACUUAUAGAUGGAUCCGCGCCGCAUUAGCUAGUUGGUAAGGUAACGGCUUACCAAGGCAACGAUGCGUAGCCGACCUGAGAGGGUGAUCGGCCACACUGGAACUGAGACACGGUCCAGACUCCUACGGGAGGCAGCAGUAGGGAAUCUUCCGCAAUGGGCGAAAGCCUGACGGAGCAACGCCGCGUGAGUGAUGAAGGUCUUCGGAUCGUAAAACUCUGUUAUUAGGGAAGAACAAAUGUGUAAGUAACUAUGCACGUCUUGACGGUACCUAAUCAGAAAGCCACGGCUAACUACGUG